AAUCUUCAAGGCAAAUGAUGUAAUAUAUAAAGCUUGAGUGUGUUGCUAUUAUUUUUGGCCAUAUCAACCUUACAUUGCUCCGUAUAAGGUGACAGAGCUGUGCCGAGGAAACAAGCGAAACUGUCUCUAUAUUCGCUGUUUCUGCUUCACCGGCGCGCGCCUCACUCACGUCUGGCUGCCUGGUAUUUCUUCUCCGGCUCCCAGGAACGACAGGCGUGCUGGAGGAAGAAGGAUCGUGUUACUGUGGAUGUGGUGCGUGUUUUCAUCUUUUCACGUCCUCUAAGGUAAACAACAAGGGAGAAGGGAGGUGUUGCAGAGAAUUACAACACGGGAGAAGAGAGGUCAUGCCAUCCCAUCCCCCAGACAAGACUUUAUAAUACAUGAUACGGAACACGAAACAGCAGGCAGUGUGUGACCCAUGGCGAAACUACAUCGGAAAGGGAAGGCGAGGAGAUGAGCUAGAGGGAAGACUGCAGAGUGAGUGUCUUCUGCUGUGUGGGGACUCGGAAGCGGACAGACACCCGAUACGCGCGUGGUGUGCGGUGACCCCUGGUCCUGCACCGUGAUUCAGUCAAGCGUCUCCCAGCAAGCCGUCCCGGAGGAGAGACGAAAUGCACACGGUGGGAAGACAAGCUGGCAGGUGACUAGUGUCUGUUGGGAAGAGACUGCACACGACAGAGAGACUUCAGUUGGCAGGCGAACUCAAGGGCUGCAUGCUGGGGAGAAAAGACGUUCUGCACACCUCAGGGAGACGCCUCAGCUGGCAGGCAACCGUGGAGUCUGUUCAGGAGAGAGGAAGAUUGUCAGCUCACUUAUGCUACCGAGGGAGUGUAUUGUACGUGGUACGGAUAUUAUAAACUACGCUCUGUAACUAAGAUGUUUGGAUUUAAAUAAAUGUAAGGGACGCC